rnacentral:piRNA from 1 species
UUUGGUCACUGAGUCUUUAAUCCUAUAG